UGGCUCAGUUUCCUGGGGGGUGGGCCCAGCCUACUCUACCUCCCCUCAGCUGAGCCUAUAGUAGAGGGGCCAGGCAUCCUCCCCCAUGGGAGAGGCAUUUGAGUAAGGAGCCUUGCCUCUGGUGUCCUAGCUGCACAUUU
rnacentral:snoRNA from 2 species